UUCUAUAAAUAAAUAAAUAAAAGAAAAGGGGGGAAAAGAAGAAUUAGGGGGAGAAUCAAAAUUUGGGCGUUUGGAAAAAAGACACUGGGGAGGGAGAAUCUUCAAAGCCCAACUUAGAAUCCAACCAUUUUUUAUUUUUCUGGUGAAAUCCUUCAAAUUUUGUGGUGCUUUCCAUCACCAAGUCUUUACCUCUUCUUCUUUACUCCCUAACUUGUGGGAUUCUUGAUUUUCUCCAAUUGAAAACAGCAAAAAUUAAAGGAGGAAUUCAGGGGCAGCAACUAUCCCUCGUCACCAGCAGCCAUUCUGACUCCAAGCGUACCUCCCAUCAGCUCCCUCAUUUCCUCCAGCUACUAGUCAUAUUCCCUCAAGCCUCAAUUUCAGCUCUUAUUUAUGUACAGUAGGGAAAAGCGAAACAGGAGAUCAAAGCUUUGCAACUUCAACUCUGGCAAAAUUUACUCUUCUAUCAACCUCACUAGUGUUUUUGAGAAACUUUCAAGCGCUUUUGACGGGUAUUUGGCAAAGCGCUUGCUGCACUCUAAGUACAGCAUCAAGCUACAACUCUCGCACAAGUGUAGCGGUUCUAUGCACCAUAUUCUCUUUAUAUUGAAUCAAUUUGAUAUACUCCUUUUAUUUCUUAAUUUUCUUGCUGUGAUACUCUUUUUAGUUAUCCAUUUAUUAUAUUAUUGUGGAUGAUCUUUUCCUCAA